GUCGAACGAACUCUGGUAUUGAUUGGUGCUUGCAUCAUGAUUUACAUUUGAGUGAGUGGCGAACUGGUGAGUAACACGUGGGAAACCUGCCCAGAAGCGGGGGAUAACACCUGGAAACAGAUGCUAAUACCGCAUAACAACUUGGACCGCAUGGUCCGAGCUUGAAAGAUGGCUUCGGCUAUCACUUUUGGAUGGUCCCGCGGCGUAUUAGCUAGAUGGUGGGGUAACGGCUCACCAUGGCAAUGAUACGUAGCCGACCUGAGAGGGUAAUCGGCCACAUUGGGACUGAGACACGGCCCAAACUCCUACGGGAGGCAGCAGUAGGGAAUCUUCCACAAUGGACGAAAGUCUGAUGGAGCAACGCCGCGUGAGUGAAGAAGGGUUUCGGCUCGUAAAACUCUGUUGUUAAAGAAGAACAUAUCUGAGAGUAACUGUUCAGGUAUUGACGGUAUUUAACCAGAAAGCCACGGCUAACUACGUGCCAGCAGCCGCGGUAAUACGUAGGUGGCAAGCGUUGUCCGGAUUUAUUGGGCGUAAAGCGAGCGCAGGCGGUUUUUUAAGUCUGAUGUGAAAGCCUUCGGCUCAACCGAAGAAGUGCAUCGGAAACUGGGAAACUUGAGUGCAGAAGAGGACAGUGGAACUCCAUGUGUAGCGGUGAAAUGCGUAGAUAUAUGGAAGAACACCAGUGGCGAAGGCGGCUGUCUGGUCUGUAACUGACGCUGAGGCUCGAAAGUAUGGGUAGCAAACAGGAUUAGAUACCCUGGUAGUCCAUACCGUAAACGAUGAAUGCUAAGUGUUGGAGGGUUUCCGCCCUUCAGUGCUGCAGCUAACGCAUUAAGCAUUCCGCCUGGGGAGUACGGCCGCAAGGCUGAAACUCAAAGGAAUUGACGGGGGCCCGCACAAGCGGUGGAGCAUGUGGUUUAAUUCGAAGCUACGCGAAGAACCUUACCAGGUCUUGACAUACUAUGCAAAUCUAAGAGAUUAGACGUUCCCUUCGGGGACAUGGAUACAGGUGGUGCAUGGUUGUCGUCAGCUCGUGUCGUGAGAUGUUGGGGUUAAGUCCCGCAACGAGCGCAACCCUUAUUAUCAGUUGCCAGCAUUAAGUUGGGCACUCUGGUGAGACUGCCGGUGACAAACCGGAGGAAGGUGGGGAUGACGUCAAAUCAUCAUGCCCCUUAUGACCUGGGCUACACACGUGCUACAAUGGAUGGUACAACGAGUUGCGAACUCGCGAGAGUAAGCUAAUCUCUUAAAGCCAUUCUCAGUUCGGAUUGUAGGCUGCAACUCGCCUACAUGAAGUCGGAAUCGCUAGUAAUCGCGGAUCAGCAUGCCGCGGUGAAUACGUUCCCGGGCCUUGUACACACCGCCCGUCACACCAUGAGAGUUUGUAACACCCAAAGUCGGUGG
rnacentral:rRNA from 2 species